rnacentral:rRNA from 1 species
GUGGGGAAUAUUGGACAAUGGGGGCUACCCUGAUCCAGCCAUGCCGCGUGAGUGAUGAAGGCCCUAGGGUUGUAAAGCUCUUUCGCAGGUGAAGAUAAUGACGGUAACCUGAGAAGAAGCCCCGGCUAACUUCGUGCCAGCAGCCGCGGUAAUACGAAGGGGGCUAGCGUUGUUCGGAAUUACUGGGCGUAAAGCGCACGUAGGCGGAUUGUUAAGUUAGGGGUGAAAUCCCGGGGCUCAACCCCGGAACUGCCUCUAAUACUGGCAAUCUCGAGUCCGAGAGAGGUGAGUGGAAUUCCGAGUGUAGAGGUGAAAUUCGUAGAUAUUCGGAGGAACACCAGUGGCGAAGGCGGCUCACUGGCUCGGUACUGACGCUGAGGUGCGAAAGCGUGGGGAGCAAACAGGAUUAGAAACCCCGGUAGUCC